GUCUAAUCUUGGCUUGCUUUGUCACCUUGGGAAAGUUAAACGGCAUUUCUGUGCCUCCGAUUCCUCAAUUGGAAAACAAGGUCUAGCACCUGUACGCCAAGAGCUCAUACAUGACAUAGCAUGUAUGCAGCAGUCAGGCGGAAUGCCUCACACUCUAAAUGCACAGUAAAUACAGCAAACACUGCAGCGACGAGAAUACACAGCCCACACAGCAAACAAAAGGACUCUAGUGCUAGAACUUAGUCACAGCAGCUCAUCAGCAUUGAGGCACUGAGUGAGGACUUUGCCUCCAUCUCCAGAACCCAGAGCAGCUGGGUCUGGGUCAUGGUACAGUCGAUAAACAAUGGGCCGCCUCCCCUAACACUGGGCAAGAGCAACUGGAAAGGGGCUGACUGGAAGAUCAUGAGGCGAGGGAGACACAGGCUAAAGCACAGCCUUUCACAAGGAAGCCUGAGAAAGCCAGGAGACCACAGAUGGGGCAGACAAGACACGAUGUAUGCAUUUUGAUUCUUCUGAAAAUUCAGCCCACCCUUCUCUCCUACAGCCUACACAAGAAUCAGUGAGAGUGAACAAGCCAUGGUCUAUCCAACCCUGCUAGACUGCUCAGAGGACAAGAGGUCCGGAGUUGAGAACUGGGGAGACCAGAGAAACCCUGCAGACUCUCUGUGAUCCAGGGAGGAAACAGAACCUGAAGAUAAGGCCUUGAUGUUCCAGGAACACAAGAUGGGAUCUAAAGGAAACUGGGCUAGAAUUCAGCAGACCUGAGCCUCAGCAUAAAUUUGCUAAGCAAUCUUGGCAAGAUUGUGAAAGAAAAUACUUUUUAUUUCCCUGUAUUAAUCAAUAAACAAUUUACAGCAUGCACACAAUACACACAACAUAACGAGGCAUUACUAGUCACACUUUUUUCCAUUCAUCUUGACUACUUGCUUGUGCCCAAGUGAAGAAGUAACACACAUCAGAUACCUCACUAAGGAAAAAGAGUACAGAGGAGAAACCAGGCACUGGUUUUUUGCUGUCACACAAUCAAUCCCUUUCCCUCUGCUUGUGCACCCCUACUUACAUCUCUAUCGCCAAACUACAUCACAUAGUCUACCUCAGAAGGACAAGAAACCUGUGGUCACAAAACAUUAAUUAAAAGCUACUAGAACUUUUAGAAAGAGUAUGGUGCUGAUGGUAGUAGAUGACCUAAGUA